CGAAAGCCUGACGGAGCAACGCCGCGUGAGGGACGAAGGCCUCUGGGCUGUAAACCUCUUUUCUCAAGGAAGAAGAUAUGACGGUACUUGAGGAAUAAGCCACGGCUAAUUCCGUGCCAGCAGCCGCGGUAAUACGGGAGUGGCAAGCGUUAUCCGGAAUUAUUGGGCGUAAAGCGUCCGCAGGCGGCUUUUCAAGUCUGCUGUUAAAGCGUGGAGCUUAACUCCAUCAUGGCAGUGGAAACUGAAAGGCUUGAGUAUGGUAGGGGCAGAGGGAAUUCCCGGUGUAGCGGUGAAAUGCGUAGAUAUCGGGAAGAACACCAGUGGCUAAGGCGCUCUGCUGGGCCAUUACUGACGCUCAUGGACGAAAGCCAGGGGAGCGAAAG
rnacentral:rRNA from 1 species